rnacentral:rRNA from 1 species
UUGGUCUCAGGAAAGUCGUAACAAGGUAACCGUAAGUCGUAACAGGGUAACCGUAGAGUUUGAUCAUGGCUCAGGUGAAGUCGUAACAAGGUAACCGUAGAGUUUGAUCAUGGCCCAGGAAAGUCGUAACAAGGUAGCCGUAGAGUUUGAUCAUGGCUCAGGAAAGUCGUAACAAGGUAGCCGUAGAGUUUGAUCAUGGCUCAGGCAAGUCGUAACAAGGUAACCGUAGAGUUUGAUCCUGGCUCAGGAAAGUCGUAACAAGGUAGCCGUAAGUCGUAACAAGGUAACCGUAA